UGGCACGCCACGUCUGUCUUUGCGUCAUAAUUCAGACAAACUCUAUUGUUUAGUCUACUAAAAAUCAUGACGACGCAUUUAUGAAGACUUAAAAGAAAAAAUUUUAUUGACAGAAUCAAAAUUGAAUUCUGGACUUUUAUUAUAUAAUAACUUAUAUAAAUAAACUAUUCAUCUUGUUGUGUUCCUUUAAUAUAAAGUCAUUUAGAAGAAAAUCUUUGCAACGGCUAUACUGCAGAUCCUUUGCUCAACAUGAAGACAUUGUGUUUAAUUUUGGCUUUGAUUUUAGUCAGUGCAGCCUUUCCGCAGUCUGGUUAAGUAAUCCGGCAUUUCCUGAAUAAAUUGUACAACGAUUAUUGCUGAUGAAAUUUAAAUUAUUUGUAUCCUAUUGGCUUAUAAAAUAAAAUUUCUGCUGUGUUAUGA